AUAUCUAUGUGUAUGUGCACUAUGCAAAUUUUGAUUCAUAUAAUCUUAAAACACAAAAUCUUUGUUUGAGUAUUCAAUUCCCAUUUCCUCGAAAAAAGAAAAUUUUAUUUACAUAAUUAUGCAAUUCUGGCCUUGUCAAACAACCCAUAAACAAUCAUUUUCAAAUAUGCUAUUUGUCAAAACAGUAGAUUUAAGUUAAAUCCUUUGUUAAAUCAGAUAGAAUCCAGAGAGAUCUAAAAACUGACCGCCAUCUAGACACAUCUCUCUAAUAACAUGGCCCCCUUGAUUGGAAGGGUCAUUUUCCGGAUCCCAUCCUUGUUAUGAGAUAAACAACUCAUAAGUUUGAUCUAUAUCAAACGCAAACAAAGAACCUUCUAUGAUUUUACCACACUGGACCGACUAAGGAAACAUUUUGAGUCCACUGAACCACAAUAGAUGGAAAAGAAAAACGAAGAAAUGGGUUUGACCAUAUCCAAGUGCACACAUCAUAUGAUGAUUUUUUUUUUCUCUCAUUUUCAAGUCAGAUUCAACCUCGCUCGCCUCAUCCAUACUGUAAUAUUGGAUUGGGGCUCGUCAUUGUAUUCGACCCUUCCGCUUUUUUGUUUUUGUUUCUCUCCUUUUGCCAUUUCGGGAAGACACGAAAGAAGAACAGCGACUGACGUCCACUCAGAGAGGAGGAAAGUGGGGGAGAAGGAAUAUGAGAAAGGGGAGAGAGGGAAACAUGAUCAGAGAAGGGAGCCAUGGUUUCCACCAGGCGCAGCUCUUCAUCGGCGAAGCUUUCUAUGCCAUCGCUGGCGCCAAGAAGCAAGCAUCUCAAGGGGGUUGUUUUCUUCAGGGCUUGAUUUCAGGGAAUCAGGCGGAGAACUUGUGUUUCUUUGGGGGUUGAAUUGGUGGAAUCAGGCAAAGAUCUCUCAUCCAAAAUAGGUUCCAGUCGCACCAUGGGGCGAUGUGCCCAACUCGAAGGAAUUGGCGCCGUCGUCUUCACGAUACCAGCUCCCCUCUGACCCGGCGACCGGUUCUAUGGAAGAUACGGCACCGACUGAAACCCCAGCUUCCAAUCCAGAUGCCGCGGUCGGGCAUCAGGGAAUAGGGUCUCCUCCCAGCGUCUCCAAAUCUCCCCUCGUGCAUCAGGGACUGAUUUGUCUUGCCUAGCAUCCCUAAUCGUGCAUCAGGAAGGCUGUCUCCGGCCUGGUUCCCCAAAUCUGCCAACCGUCGUCUGGUAGAGAGUGGAGAGGCUCGGAUGAUUUUCACUUGUCCUCUAGUUUCUUUGGCUGUUCAUGAGAUUUUAGUCCUUUUUCAUGCAUGCAAUGGAGGUUUCAUGUGGUUUAUUCGAUGAUUUUGAGAAGAUUUGCAGAAGGAGAUUAGCUGGUCAUAAUUAGUGCAGGAGGAAGAACCAUGCCAAUUCUGCUACUAGGAAUCAUUCUCAAGAGGCGUCUACCUGGUGGAGGCUUGAUUUCUUAUUUUGGAUCUGAGAGUGACUACAUAAAUUUUAUAUGAGGUAAAUGGUUCCAGCUUGGUGUAUUUAGACAAUGCAGCUACAUCUCAAAAGCCAUAUGCUGUUUUGGAAGUUCUCCAUGAUUAUGUGAGGGAUACAGCUGGAAUGGUCACCACAAUAUUCAUUACUUAAGGUGUAGUGGGCUAUGUGAAGAAUAUAAUCAGGGUCUCUAUCAGAUCUCAACAACCUGGAAUAGCUG